rnacentral:tRNA from 1 species
CAGUAAAUAUUUUAAUAAAAAUAUUAGUUUUGGAGACUAAUGAUGAAAGGGUUUUCUUUACUGA